AAAAAAAAGACAACAUAUGUGUUGAGGUUUGUAUUUAUUAUACCCAAAAUAGAUGGUAUCUGUCACUAGAAUCUGACCUGCUGGAUGUUUAUCUAUUUAUUUAUUAUAAUUCAGAAUUUGUUUGACAUAAUUAAAACAUAGAGAGAAAAAAUGCAGGCGAAUAAAGAUUAGGUCCAGAAGUACUGCAGGUCUUUUUCAGCCACUGUCCGUCUGUUUACCACUUUGGAUUCACUGGUCGUCCGUAGCAACCGCCGUAGCAACAAAAGACAGGAGAAAAUCCUCAGAAAUUAAUCCGCUAAUGAGCCGCCAGGCUCGGCGAUACGAACUCACAGAGCGGCCUGCUCGGGUCAGCAGGUGUUUGCAAUCACCUUCAUCAGUCUCGUUACAGUGCAGAAUAGGUGGCUAAAAAGUUGAGUGACGGAUUCCACCGGUGACGUGCCCACUCCCGUGGGGGCUCUCCUGGUGUCUGUUGCGUUGGUACUCACGUUGUCUGCAAUGCGCGUCUCCAUGGUGCUGUUGGGGAAUCCUGAGCUCCUCUCUCAUUCCUCCCACUCCCCCCCAAUAAAUAAAUACAAAGAACGAGGGAGAGGGGUAACAAACGGACCGCUGUCCCGGUUUCAGAGACACCCCCCUCCGUCCGGGGUCCCCACCCGCAUCCCCGCGAGACAGCCGGCUAGGCAGCGGGACAGCCAGCCGCGGUGGGCUCCCUUCCCCGUGCGCACAUCUCCGCUGAGCGUCCACAAAUGCCCACAGCCGCCGGCAACCGCAUUCCCACAUCUACGCAACCGUUCGGCUGCCGAGGCGCGCCGGAAAAAGCCGAGCUCCCCGAGCCGCUGCACCUCCGUACACCUGAGCUCCGGGUUACCAACGCGCGGCAACGGCGCCCUCUGGCGGACAUAUGCAGAAUGUGCAGUCUGAUCAGGUUCAAGUGUAAUGAUAAAUAGAUAAAUAAAAUUAGAAAAUAA